GGGAAAUGGGAACAGGGACCAGCCCCAGGCCCCGAGACCCAAACAAGUUUUUGGGGCG
rfam:Tupaia chinensis contig6884, whole genome shotgun sequence.